CUGGGAGGACCAUCUCCUAAGGCUAAAUACUCUCUAGUGACCGAUAGUGAACCAGUACCGUGAGGGAAAGGUGAAAAGCACCCCGGAAGGGGAGUGAAAUAGAACCUGAAACCGUGUGCUUACAAGUAGUCAGAGCCCGUUAAUGGGUGAUGGCGUGCCUUUUGUAGAAUGAACCGGCGAGUUACGAUUUGAUGCAAGGUUAAGCAGUAAAUGUGGAGCCGUAGCGAAAGCGAGUCUGAAUAGGGCGUUUAGUAUUUGGUCGUAGACCCGAAACCAGGUGAUCUACCCUUGGUCAGGUUGAAGUUCAGGUAACACUGAAUGGAGGACCGAACCGACUUACGUUGAAAAGUGAGCGGAUGAACUGAGGGUAGCGGAGAAAUUCCAAUCGAACCUGGAGAUAGCUGGUUCUCUCCGAAAUAGCUUUAGGGCUAGCCUCAAGUGAUGAUUAUUGGAGGUAGAGCACUGUUUGGACGAGGGGCCCCUCUCGGGUUACCGAAUUCAGACAAACUCCGAAUGCCAAUUAAUUUAACUUGGGAGUCAGAACAUGGGUGAUAAGGUCCGUGUUCGAAAGGGAAACAGCCCAGACCACCAGCUAAGGUCCCAAAAUAUAUGUUAAGUGGAAAAGGAUGUGGCGUUGCCCAGACAACUAGGAUGUUGGCUUAGAAGCAGCCAUCAUUUAAAGAGUGCGUAAUAGCUCACUAGUCGAGUGACACUGCGCCG
rnacentral:rRNA from 1 species